UACGGGGGGGGCAAGCGUUGUUCGGAAUUACUGGGCGUAAAGGGUUCGUAGGUGGCUCGCUAAGUCAGACGUGAAAUCCCUCAGCUCAACUGGGGAACUGCGUCUGAGACUGGCAAGCUCGAGUGCAGGAGAGGAACGCGGAAUUCCAGGUGUAGCGGUGAAAUGCGUAGAUAUCUGGAGGAACACCGGUGGCGAAGGCGGCGUUCUGGACUGCAACUGACACUGAGGAACGAAAGCCAGGGGAGCAAACGGG
rnacentral:rRNA from 1 species